rnacentral:rRNA from 1 species
UGGGGAAUCUUCCGCAAUGGACGAAAGUCUGACGGAGCAACGCCGCGUGAGUGAAGACGGCCUUCGGGUUGUAAAGCUCUGUGAUCCGGGACGAAAGAGCCUGAGGUGAAUAGCCUAAGGAAGUGACGGUACCGGAAAAGCAAGCCACGGCUAACUACGUGCCAGCAGCCGCGGUAAUACGUAGGUGGCAAGCGUUGUCCGGAAUUAUUGGGCGGAAAGCGCGCGCAGGCGGCUUCCUAAGUCCAUCUUAAAAGUGCGGGGCUUAACCCCGUGAUGGGAUGGAAACUGGGAAGCUGGAGUAUCGGAGAGGAAAGUGGAAUUCCUAGUGUAGCGGUGAAAUGCGUAGAGAUUAGGAAGAACACCGGUGGCGAAGGCGACUUUCUGGACGAAAACUGACGCUGAGGCGCGAAAGCGUGGGGAGCAAACAGG